UGGCUCAGAUUGAACGCUGGCGGCAUGCCUUACACAUGCAAGUCGAACGGCAGCACGGGUGCUUGCACCUGGUGGCGAGUGGCGAACGGGUGAGUAAUACAUCGGAACAUGUCCUGUAGUGGGGGAUAGCCCGGCGAAAGCCGGAUUAAUACCGCAUACGAUCUACGGAUGAAAGCGGGGGACCUUCGGGCCUCGCGCUAUAGGGUUGGCCGAUGGCUGAUUAGCUAGUUGGUGGGGUAAAGGCCUACCAAGGCGACGAUCAGUAGCUGGUCUGAGAGGACGACCAGCCACACUGGGACUGAGACACGGCCCAGACUCCUACGGGAGGCAGCAGUGGGGAAUUUUGGACAAUGGGCGAAAGCCUGAUCCAGCAAUGCCGCGUGUGUGAAGAAGGCCUUCGGGUUGUAAAGCACUUUUGUCCGGAAAGAAAUCCCUGGCUCUAAUACAGUCGGGGGAUGACGGUACC
rnacentral:rRNA from 1 species